rnacentral:rRNA from 1 species
AACUUUUAACAACGGAUCUCUUGGUUCUCGCAUCGAUGAAGAACGUAGCAAAGUGCGAUAACUAGUGUGAAUUGCAUAUUCAGUGAAUCAUCGAGUCUUUGAACGCAACUUGCACUCAAUGGUAUUCCAUUGAGUACGCCUGUUUCAGUA